rfam:Pseudomonas bauzanensis strain CGMCC 1.9095 genome assembly, contig: Ga0066784_111
UGCGUAUUUUGCCCAGGCGGAGCCCGACUGGCCGGCACCCCGGCGCCGCAACAAACCCUGAACGCCUUCGUUGACGAGUACCGUGACCGCUACGGAGUCGAGUCGAUCUGUCGGGUAAUCCAGAUCGCUCCG